rnacentral:lncRNA from 1 species
GAACAUACGCUCACUCUAUUGAGGACUUCUACUCAUGCUGGGAAUUCCUACUCACUGUGCUGGAGAUUUCCAUUUAUGUUGGGGGAAGACCAACUUCCUCAUGAAUAGAUCACAUAUCAACUUUUAUCAAUCUAUAAGGGAUUUUAGGUCAAUCCACUCAAGGGAUGACAACCAUAUAAUUGAUAAAACACAAAUGCUAGACUCAGACUCCCUGGGGAAUUGAAGAUAUUAGAGGUAUACACAUCUCUAAGAAGAUCAAGG